AAGAGAACACCACAGAGAGGCCGGUUAGGGUCACUGCUCUGAUACCAUAUUGAAUUUUGUGAAUGGUAUAUUCAUCAUAAGACAAUCAGGUACAAGAGAUAGCAAAUAUAUAUGUGCUAGAGAGAAGAAAACAAGACUACAUAUCCCUCCUUGAUUUACGUCUAAAGCUAACAAAAAAGAACAAAUAAGACACAUCCCUUGAAUUAAGGGAAUUGACAACAAGACAAAUAAGACACAUCCCUUGAAUUAAGGGAAUUGACAACAAGAGACACAUCCCUUGAAUUAAGGGAAUUGACAACACUAUCUA
rnacentral:lncRNA from 1 species